GGCAAUUGCCAAUGGCAGUCAGCAGGGUUAAAGAACAUCAGUUGUUCGACCUGUUAGUCAAAUGCGUUUUGUUUAAAUAUACUUUUUCACUAUUUUGGUCUUUUGGAAAAUGUUGUUUGUGCUGUUUUUAGACCCUUCUACAACGAAAUUUGUUUUACAUGCACACGUAUAAAAAUUGCGGUUUUUAUCCAACGCAAUCAUAGGUUUGAACGUAGUUUUCAAUUUAGACUCGUUUAUAUUUUUCCGUUUGGGCUUGUAUCAUAUUUUCCCUCCGGUUUAUAUGAUCUGUUCAUCAUCUAUUGACUCUUAAAAUUCAAGAGUCUAUCUAAAAAAGGAGUACUUUUUCUAAAAAUGAGGGUAUUUUUUUUAUAUGGCCUUCCAUAUACCGUUUCGAUCCCUAACAUCACUGAAGAGACAUUUAUUGUCGAAAUCCGGAUCUGGUGUACUAAAAAAAUAUU
rnacentral:lncRNA from 1 species